GUGCUCACUUGGGCCCCACAUAUACUAAAGUUGGAACAAUAGAGAGGAUUAGCAUGGCCCCUGUGCAAAGAUGACACACAAAUUCACGAAGUGUUCCAUAUUUUU